rnacentral:rRNA from 1 species
UAGGGAAUCUUCCACAAUGGACGAAAGUCUGAUGGGGCAACGCCGCGUGAGUGAAGAAGGUUCUCGGAUCGUAAAACUCUGUUGUGAGGGAAGAACAAGUACCGGAGUAACUGCCGGUACCUUGACGGUACCUCAUUAGAAAGCCACGGCUAACUACGUGCCAGCAGCCGCGGUAAUACGUAGGUGGCAAGCGUUGUCCGGAAUCAUUGGGCGUAAAGCGCGCGCAGGCGGUCCCUUAAGUCUGAUGUGAAAGCCCACGGCUCAACCGUGGAGGGUCAUUGGAAGCUGGGGGACUUGAGUGCAGAAGAGGAAAGCGGAAUUCCAAGUGUAGCGGUGAAAUGCGUAGAGAUUUGGAGGAACACCAGUGGCGAAGGCGGCUUCUGGUCUGUAACUGACGCUGAGGCGCGAAAGCGUGGGGAGCAAACAGGAUUAGAUACCCUGGUAGUCCACGCCGUAAACGAUGAGUGCUAAGUGUUAGGGGGUUUCCGCCCCUUAGUGCUGGCAGCUAACGCAUUAAGCACUCCGCCUGGGGAGUACGUCGCAAGACUGAAACUCAAAGGAAUUGACGGGGUCAUAGCUGUUUCCUG